GACGGGGGCCCGCACAAGCGGUGGAGCAUGUGGUUUAAUUCGACGCAACGCGAAGAACCUUACCAGCUCUUGACAUGUCAGGUCGGUUUCCAGAGAUGGAUUCCUCCCAGCAAUGGGCCUGAACACAGGUGCUGCAUGGCUGUCGUCAGCUCGUGUCGUGAGAUGUUGGGUUAAGUCCCGCAACGAGCGCAACCCUCGCUGUAUGUUACAUGUGUCAUACAGGACCGCCGGUAUCAAGCCGGAGGAAGGUGGGGAUGACGUCAAGUCCGCAUGGCCUUUAUGUCCGGGGCUACACACACGCUACAAUGGUCGGUACAAUGGGUUGCUAAGCCGCGAGGUGGAGCCAAUCCCCCAAAGCCGGCCUCAGUUCAGAUUGCAGGCUGCAACUCGCCUGCAUGAAGCUGGAGUUGCUAGUAAACGCGCGUCAGCUAUAGUGCGUUGAAUACGUUCUCGGGCCUU
rnacentral:rRNA from 1 species